rnacentral:misc_RNA from 1 species
GAUGAAGAACGCAGCAAAAUGCGAUAAGUAAUGUGAAUUGCAGAAUUCAGUGAAUCAUCGAAUCUUUGAACGCACAUUGCGCCCGCCAGUAUUCUGGCGGGCAUGCCUGUUCGAGCGUCAUUUCAACCCUCAAGCACAGCUUGGUGUUGGGACUCGUGUUAAUUCGCGUUCCUCAAAUUGAUUGGCGGUCACGUCGAGCUUCCAUAGCGUAGUAGUAAAACCCUCGUUACUGGUAAUCGUCGCGGCCACGCCGUUAAACCCCAACUUCUGAAUGUUGACCUCGGAUCAGGUAGGAAUACCCGCUGAACUUAAGCAUAUCAAUAAGCGGAGGA